AAAUGUAACAAUAGUAUACUACAGGCAGAUGUACUGGACACUGGAAUACUGAUGUUUCUCAUGAAUUGACCACAUCCUGACAAGUGUAGCACAUGAUGGAAUUAUGGGUAUCAACUACCACUUGUUGGGUAUCGUCUUAAAGAUCAUAUCUACCAAGAUCUAAAACAUUAACGCGAUGCUCUUGCCCAUUGCAUCCACCAUAUUCUUUUGAUAAAGUAAGAAUAGGACUGAGGGUACAAAGAUGAAUAAUUACAGACUAGAUAGCCAUAAGCAACUUAAUGAUAAGUUUUGUGCCUAAAUGAUCUCAACGUGGGUCCAAACACCUGUUGUGAACUUGCUCUUGAAAAGUUUGGGCAACUUUGAUAAAAGAAUGGCUUUUUCUCACUUUGCGUUAUCCAUUACUCCUACAAACAGAAUCCACUCUCGGCUGGAUGCCUAAGUUUUCUGGAGAUGUGAAGAGAAAAUCAUUAGUUCAAUCCUGAGCUUAAUUUUUGCCAUUAAAACUUCUCAAAGUUUUGAGUACUUAUCCGACUUUGGCCCUUUAACUUAUGUCAAACACUUGAGCUAAUUUAAAACCAAUUAUUCAACAGGCAAUACUUAAUAAUCAAACUUUUGCAGGAAUUUUUGAACUUUUCAUUAGACGCUGAAUUACAGGUCUAGCCAUACGACUAACCAGAAGUACACAAUCAUGUUAGGGCAGAUUAAAUUCCUUUCCACUCAGACCACCAAUUGUCAUGUGAGGAAAUCUAUUCCUUCUGCAUGGUGAUUUCUGAUCACAGCACCAUAAAAAUAGAAACAAACUCAAAACACUCAAAAUCACAGAACCUUAUAAUAACUUGAAAUCCCAUGUGCAUGCUUCUCAUUAAAAUCAUAAGAAGACAUGACUUCUUGCCAUGAAAUUCUGAGGUAAAGGAUGAAAAAAAAAAAUAUAGACUUACUGCUCUUGUCUUGACUUAUCAGGAAAAAACACGACAUCAGAUCAUAGACAAAGCCCAUUUGAUUCGUGAAGCUUGCCAUAUGAUAAUACAGAGUUUUACUUGGUCAAACAGAAAAAACAGAAUCUUAGAAUCAAAUACCAAUGUCAAAGAACCUACGCCAGGCAUCUUACAAUAGCAUCAACAAUGAGAGUGUGGGCGUAACCAUUCCACAACGGCUCAAAGGAAGGUCCUUUAAUCAAUACACAGGCCAUCGGUGAAUCUAAACCAUACCCUAUAGAGUAAGAAACGUAAAGACUAGAAUUGCACUAUCCUGUUGUAUGAUAAGAAAAGAGAAGUUCGUCACUCAGACAAAUCAACAUACACAUGAACUGUGUGACAGAAAACCUAAACAUCUUACAUAGACUUUCAUCAAUCCACAUUCUAUUCCAAAACAGAUGAAAGAAACAAAGUGGGUGACAUUAACUUCACGGCCCAUGUACCUUAAAACUCGAUAUACACAUAUUCAACAUGCAUAAGAAUCAAAACCCAUUUGGCAAAAACAGUAAAACUCUUCAUCAAAUAUACAUUCUUUUUGUGGCAGCGAUGAACUCCUAACCCAGUCCACCACAAACCAAACACAUACACACAUCAACAUGCAUAAAAAUCAAAACCCAUUUCCCAAGAAGAGCAAAAGAAUAUGCUUAUAUAUGGAGAGAGGGUCCGGAGAGAG
rnacentral:lncRNA from 1 species